rnacentral:tRNA from 1 species
UGAAUCGGCCCAGCGGAUGUUUCUGAUGACUCGCGACUAUGGGCGGGU